UACGAAGGGGGCUAGCGUUGUUCGGAAUUACUGGGCGUAAAGGGCGCGUAGGCGGUACUUCAAGUCAGGCGUGAAAGCCCCGGGCUCAACCUGGGAACCGCGCUUGAGACUGGAGAACUAGAGUUCGGGAGAGGAUGGUGGAAUUCCCAGUGUAAAGGUGAAAUUCGUAGAUAUUGGGAAGAACACCGAUGGCGAAGGCAGCCAUCUGGACCGACACUGACGCUGAGGCGCGAAAGCGUGGGGAGCAAACAGG
rnacentral:rRNA from 1 species